AAGGUGAGUACUUAUGUCAGUCAUCUUUGAAGUCCUUAACUGCCACACAGUCAAGAAAGAAGUCUGACAGUGCCAAAAAAGCAGAAGUCAGCAAGAAAACUAAAGAAACAUGUGAGGAAGCAGGAGUCAUACUUUUCAAAGAGAAUCUGAACAGGACUGCCUUUUGACACUCUUAUUUUUCCUCUGGACAACUGUGAACCAUUUUUUUCCCAUUAAGAAGCCAACUGAUGAUGAAGUCCACUUCUCUUUCUCCAAGCUUGUCUGUGUGUAGUAAUUCAUAGCUUCAGGGGAAGGGGAGAAUCUAAUAAAAAGAUUUCAUGGAGCAAGACAUUGUCCUACUGCAAAUUUUGGUGUUGGUAACUACAUCAGUUGUACAAACAAGAAAACUGAGGCUCAGAAAGGAUGACGUAUCAAAUGAGUAUUACACGGCAAAGUGAGUAUUACACGGCAAAGUGAGACUGGAGACAGAUUACACGGCAAAGUGAGACUGGAGACAGAUUUUGAAACUUUUGGUAUAGAAAUCACUUUGAAGUUAUAAGAUUAUCAAGAAAAUGUGGAAAGAAAAGUAAAUUGUGCGUAGAACCAGAAGGAAAACCUAAGACUUCAGUAAAGCAGUGAUUAUUCAAUACCUCGGUAGAUGACCAAGAUGCCUAGCAAAGCAUUACAGGGCCUGGCAGUCAACAGGUAUUCAAUGAAUAGCUGUCACAUCAACAGCUAGAGGGGAGACUGCACCAAAUUGUGUCUAUCUGUGACGGACAGAUGAAACAGCUCUCGGACUUUUUUAAGGCAGCUACAUUUCUCAAAAUGAAUUCUUACACAUUACUGGUAUGUAAAAUACACAAAAAUGUCCUUGAGUAAAGCAGGAAUAGAUGGUCUGGAUAUUCACCUAACUUAACCUCUUUUCACUUCCAUUGACAAUAUGCCCUUUGUGUAUAUUAAUAUAUAGAAAUCCCUGAGACAACUCCAUGCAACGCAAGAAAAUGCUGGAAAUCCUCUAUGUUAGUCAGUCAUAAGAGUGAUAAUAAUUUGGGACAUCUGAGUAUGGAACGAAAGAACAGGUAACAUUUGGUCUGAAGAGAUCAUACUGAAAUCAAGUGCCAGCCUAUCUACACUUGAUGAUUAAACAGACACUCCAUUGUCAUGUUCUGCUAGCUGGGAUCUUUCAUUACUUCUUUCUUGGAUUUAUUUAUGACCAAAAGCUUCCUAUGAUUAUGACUCAUAACAUCAGAUCACUUGGACAUCACAAUUGUAUACAAUGGAAAUGGUAUAUUUACUAGAGUCAAUUCCCUGUGGCUGUCUUGUUCCAGUCCCUGUUGCAGAACCUCCCCAGCCACCUGCAUCUUGUAAGAAACUGGCCAUGCCACAUUAUUCCACAGAGAAGCCGGAGAGAAAAAGAACUGCAUAAUGUCAGAAGGUUAAAAUUAAAUGUGAAUGCCCAAAUUUGGUAUCUUAGCAGAAAGAAGUUUUGUGAUCUAAUCAUGUUACUGAAAGGACCAGUUACAUGUAUGACUAGGGAGGAAAGGAUAUGAAUGUCCCUACAGUUGAAGAAAAACGAAAGAAUGAAUGAGUCCUUUUUAACAGUAGACUUGGCAAUGUUGUUCCAUUUUAAUAUAAAUUAUAUAUGAACAAUCCAGUCCAAAUGGAGAGUAAAAACAUAAUCAUUAUUUUAAAAUCCAGCCCAAGUAAGUAGUAAAAAACAGUAAUCACUAUAAGAUUUUAUUAUGGCAAUACCUGUGUACAAAUAAGAAGAAAUAUGUAAAGAAAAUCACAGGCUAAUUCUUGGAUAAUUUAUUCAAGGAGUAAGUUAUGAAAAUUCAUCAAUAAGUAGAAUAAAUGGGGUAAGGCAAAGACAGCUUACCAUAGAUUCUAUUUAUGCAACUCCAGUUUUAAUUUAGUUUGUAUUGAUGGACUCUUACUUCAUGUGUUACAGUCAUGUUAAACCUAGACACAACAUGCAUUGCAUCUCGAGUUUUCAUAGUACAAAGACAUUUGGACGUGGCACAGACAGUUGCUCCUUUUGCUUCAAGUGAUAAACGGUUUAGCUGUAAAAAGGAUCUGAAUAGAUCUAACAAAAAUCGGUGAGUGAAUUUAGAAGAGAAACUACAUGCAUUAAAAUUUUUAUUUUACUCUCCUGAUUCUUACACGGUAUUUUGCCUUCAGGAGAAACCAUGCUGAUACUGUCCUUGGUGUUUUCAGGCCUUUGCAAAUGAGGCUGAGACCUGGUUCCAGGAUCGAGUAUACUUCAAAGGAAACAGUACCACCUACAACACCUGCCAUCAAAAAAGACAGGCGGCCAAUUGAAAAACCUAGGUCAAAAGAGCAUAACUUGGGCAAGAUGCUGGUUAAAUUCAAUGAAUAAAGCAGAAGAGUAAAGAUUUCAAGAAGUCUCAUUCAGAAUUUAGGAGGUGACUCUGGAAAAUCUUGUACAGAUGUCAAGCUUGACUGGGAUUAUGCAGUGGAUACAAUUAGCAGAAACUACAGAAGAGGUAUCGAAGCCCCAGAAGGUGCCUAUAGAAUAAAGCAGAAUAAUCAGGGGUAAAAAACAAAGAGAAAAAAACCUGGCCAAGUCAGCUAAAGGUGGCAGUAGAAAGGUGAGGAGAGAUAAAGGAAAGAGCAACAAAGUAAAGGCCUAGUGCUGAUCUCAUGGCAACUGGCAACAACAGAGAUCUGGGGGUGAAUGGUCAGCUGGAAGAAUGCAGGAGCCCAAAGAGCUGUGUGGAUGAAUCCCAGGUCUUGGAUGGAUAAAACUAUAAGUCAUAUGAAUGAGCAGGUCUGAAGCUAAGGAUGUGUCUAUCAGCUGACUCAGUGUUUGGCUAGAGGAGCAUAAAGUAAGGAAUAUUACUCAGUAGAUGCAUUCUGAUGAAUAUGAAAACAACAGUGGAACAAAGAGAAAAAACAGGUAAUCUUAAGGCCACAGAUAAAUGACCAUAUCCAAGUCAGAAUUCCUUAAGGGAAGCCAAAAAUGUACUGAAAGCUCGCUGUUUGUUUCACUUUUUCUUUACCUUUUUUUCCCCCUCUUCAGUAUGCAAUUUGAUUGAUAGUAUUUUUUCCACAUUGGUGACAUUUUAAAUGGAAACCAAGAUUUUUUGGGGGUGGUUGUAAUAGCUCGAUGAAAUCUUUCACAUGUGCCAAAAUGUUUCAUUAAUAUAA